UACAGAGGUCCCAAGCGUUGUUCGGAUUCACUGGGCGUAAAGGGCGCGUAGGCGGCCUUCUAAGUCGAACGUGAAAUCCCCGGGCUCAACCCGGGAACUGCGUCCGAGACUGGAAGGCUUGAAUCCGGGAGAGGGAUGUGGAAUUCCAGGUGUAGCGGUGAAAUGCGUAGAUAUCUGGAGGAACAUCGGUGGCGAAGGCGGCAUCCUGGACCGGUAUUGACGCUGAGGCGCGAAAGCCAGGGGAGCAAACGGG
rnacentral:rRNA from 1 species